AACAGCUGCCAGACAGACUUCUUGUAGUAUCAGAUCAGUGUCUGAUGAGAAGGCCUUAAACAUUCUUGAGCUAGUAUUUGGGCAUCUUACUGUUUUGCUAAUUUUUGGUCUUUCAUAAAGUAGCCUUAGAUUAGUCAUCAUGCUUAAUCCCACAGGUUUUAAAUUAAAAAAAAGUUGCAGUUUUACAUUAGCUAUAGGUAGAUGUGUUCUCACAUACACUCAGAUGCAAGUUGUUUUCAAACCAUAUCCACACUGGUCAGAGAGCAAUGCGAUUCGUUAAACCUUUAUGAUGUUUCUUUUGAAGGACUACAACCUCCCAGCCAGCCUGGGAUGUACUGCAGAACCGGUCUCAAGCAAUAGUCUUGGAUCAUCUUGAGACACACACACCACACUCCUGGUUUCAGAAUUGGGCUCUCUUCCUACUUCCACUAACCUAGGUCAUCACAUUAACAGCUCUUCUCCAGGAUCCUUUGCCAGAUGAGUCCUAUGCAUGUACUAUUUUUACAUUAGUAAUUCAGAGUGUUAAAAUGAGGCCUUCUUCAAAAGAGAAAAUCUUUAUAAAGACAAAUGGCUUACUUAGAAGACACUUUUGAAAGAAGAAAAAAAUACUUAUCACUUAAAGACAAGAGAGGAACUACUGGAAGAAGGAAUAAACUGCAACUGAACUUGAAGAAACCACAGCCAAAAAAUAUGGGCGAAUUCUCUUGUAUAUGAUAACGGCAGCAUGAAUAAUCUAUGCCAAGAACUGGAAUGAAGAAAAGAUACCAACAGCUCAAGAAUGGACCUUAAAAUUAAUGGAGUUAUCAAUUAUGGAUUGUAUCACAAAUCAACUUAAUAACAAUAUAAAAAAGAAAUAUGAAGAUGAGUGGAAGGAGGUAGCAAAGCUUUGGAAAAUAAACUAAGAUAAAAUCUAAAUCAAUGGAUCUCCUAGAGAGGAAAACCUGAAAUAUUGAACUCUGUUAAAAUUAAAAGAGAAUAACUUAUGAUGAUAACCGAAUGGAUUUAAGUAUUAAUAACCAUGGGAGGGUUCAAAAUUUGUUAAUUUAUGUUAACAUGGGAAAUAAUAGGAAAUUUGCAAGACAAUUUAUAGAAUAAGACAAAAACAAUUUAUUAGGACUGUAGUCAGGAAGUCUAUGUUAGUGACAGUGAGAAAUAAGUGAUGGAAAGAAAAUAAGAGGAUAAUUGAAGAAAGAACUAUAAAAGAAGAACUAUAU